rnacentral:rRNA from 1 species
CAUCCUUUAAAGAAAGCGUAACAGCUCACUGGUCUAGUUAAGCCGUCCUGCGCCGAAGAUGUACCGGGGCUUAAGCCGCCCGCCGAAGCUGAGGGUUUUAGAUAACAGUUGUCAGAUGAGAGGCGAUGCAGCAAUGCGUUGCUUUUUGUCUUUGGAGUUGAGGCACGUUCGCGUGCUGAUUGAGACGUCAGGAUGACAAGUCGUGCGCUGGCACGGCAGUGAUGGGGUCUUCGGGCUUUCAUGAUUGCUGGGUUAUUGGCAUCGUUUGUCAUCUGAUAACUGUGUCUAAAGCGGUAGCGGAGCGUUCCGUAGGCCUGCGAAGGUGUCUCGUGAGGGAUGCUGGAGGUAUCGGAAGUGCGAAUGCUGGCAUGAGUAGCGAAAAGGAGUGUGAGAGACACUCCCGCCGAAAGUCCAAGGUUUCCUCGGCCAGGUUAAUCCGCCGAGGGUAAGCCGGCCCCUAAGGCGAGGCCGAAAGGCGUAGUCGAUGGGAAUCAGGUUAAUAUUCCUGAGCCUGCUGGUGGUGACGAAUACCGGAAGUAGUCGGGUCUUAUCGGAUUGAUCCCGGCUGCCUGGGUGUUCCAGGAAAUAGCCCCAGCAUAAGACCGUACCCCAAACCGACACAGGUGGACUGGUAGAGUAUACCAAGGCGUUUGAGAGAACGAUGUUGAAGGAACUCGGCAAAAUG